rnacentral:rRNA from 1 species
UACGUAGGGGGCAAGCGUUAAUCGGAAUUACUGGGCGUAAAGCGUGCGCAGGCGGCUUUGCAAGACAGAUGUGAAAUCCCCGGGCUCAACCUGGGAACUGCAUUUGUGACUGCAUGGCUAGAGUGCGGCAGAGGGGGAUGGAAUUCCGCGCGUAGCAGUGAAAUGCGUAGAUAUGCGGAGGAACACCGAUGGCGAAGGCAAUCCCCUGGGCCUGCACUGACGCUCAUGCACGAAAGCGUGGGGAGCAAACAGG